rnacentral:rRNA from 1 species
UACGUAGGGUGCGAGCGUUGUCCGGAAUUAUUGGGCGUAAAGAGCUUGUAGGCGGUCUGUCGCGUCUGUCGUGAAAUCCCCGGGCUCAACCUGGGAAUGGCAAUGGAUACUGGCUGGCUAGAGUGUGUCAGAGGAUGGUGGAAUUCCCGGUGUAGCGGUGAAAUGCGUAGAGAUCGGGAGGAACACCAGUGGCGAAGGCGGAUCUCUGGGCCGUAACUGACGCUGAGGAGCGAAAGCAUGGGUAGCGAACAGG